rnacentral:rRNA from 1 species
AUGGCGGAGGAACCAUCUGCCAAGCGUCCUCGUGGCGAGAUGUCCGACCAGAGCACCGAGGUCGACGACGUUCAGGUCCCCGGUCAGAAGCACGACUACAAAGUGCACCUCAAGGAGGUUGACAUCCACGGCAAGGGAAAGCUGGAUGUCGUAUGCACCAGCAAUCCCGAGGAAGCCGACAAGAUGAUCAGCAGGAUCCUGAAGAGGGUUUGCGGCUCGUACCCUCAGUACAUCGGCGUUGAUGUCGAGUAUACCAGGGAGGACGAACCUCCGCAGAGGGCAGCGGUUCUAUAG